UCCCCUCCAUCGCCCACGCCGCUGCUCACCACCUCCACCAUUGGCGCCGCAGCUCUACUUCAUCAUCCUCAGCACCGCAACUCUAAUUCAGCAAAUGCUCUGAUAUGGGGAUGACAUUUAUGAUUAUGAGCUCUCAUCUUCGAAGUUUUCAUCAAAAAAAUUGGGUUGAACUUUGAAAAAUCAUGCUUAAUUUCAAUCUCUAUCCCCCUUGCAACCACCACAAUCUGCUGUCGCCGGAUUCCCACAUCCUCUCAAAUCUACCUCAACA
rnacentral:lncRNA from 1 species